UAAAAAUUGUAAGCCAGUCUUAUACACAGAAGCAGCCGAUAUUACUGAUGAAAAUUUGAGAGCCUUACUCAUGUUGAGUGCAUUACUACCGGUAUCAAAUUCUGUGAUCA